rnacentral:siRNA from 1 species
AGUGAAGAAACAAUGUCACCA